UACGUAGGGUGCAAGCGUUGUCCGGAAUUAUUGGGCGUAAAGAGCUCGUAGGCGGUCUGUCGCGUCGGCUGUGAAAACCCGGGGCUCAACCCCGGGCCUGCAGUCGAUACGGGCAGACUAGAGUGCGGUAGGGGAGACUGGAAUUCCUGGUGUAGCGGUGAAAUGCGCAGAUAUCAGGAGGAACACCGGUGGCGAAGGCGGGUCUCUGGGCCGUAACUGACGCUGAGGAGCGAAAGCGUGGGAAGCGAACAGG
rnacentral:rRNA from 1 species